rnacentral:rRNA from 1 species
AAAUAGAACUUUGCAGAGAGAGUUAACAGGGCGUGAACCGUUAAUUCGGCUAACGAAUCGGAGCCACGAAGUCGUUUCGUUGUUUGAUCCUCGUCAGGUUCAGCUGGGGUCGAGAGGCCCUGGUGUAUUCCUAGAUGGGGACAACUUUGUAAGCGUACACUGCAACCAGUUAGACGAUCAGCAGUGGGCACAGCGGGCUUAGUUUCCAGCAAUGGAGACUAGGUUUGCGAAGCAAUUGUUUGCUUGCAUUAGUAGUAGCGCGGUCGCACUUCGGUGCUUCUCGUGUUGCUGGGUGCGAGCAAGUGAACUACAGCUGAAUACUGACUGGCGAAAUGAAAAUCGCCCCAUGGGCGUCAGAGACAAAGCAGCUAACCACAUAUGGGUCUACGCACUCGACUGUUGGGCUUAAGCUUGGCACUUUUGAAUUCAGACUUGCUUGCUACCAGUGGGGCAACUCCUGGUGCUUGUAUAGCUUCUGUCUAAUCGGGUGUCGACUUAGUUUAGCAUUGUUCGUGGUGCGAAACGGUUGGAUUUGUAUGCGAGCUAGUUUGCAAUGUGAAUUGGCAGUGAGUAGGUCGGCUUUCCGAACGACCCGUCUUGAAACACGGACCAAGGAGUCUAAUUAGGCAUCGAGUCGAUCGGUCUUGAUAGGCCAGACUGGUUGUCUUCGGACUUCCAACUGAAGGCGUAGAGAAAUCAAAUCGUGUGAUCAUGGGGGCAACAACAGCCUUUAUGCGCAACAUGUGCCUGUUCGUAUAGCAAUGUCGCAAGACUUGCUGAGCGGAGCAAAGAGAUGCUUGAUUGGGACCCGAAAGAUGGUGAACUAUGCCUGGGCAAAUUGAAGCCAGAGGAAACUCUGGUGGAGGAUUGUAGCGAUUCUGACGUGCAAAUCGAUCGUCAGACCUGGGUAUAGGGGCGAAAGACUAAUCGAACCAUC